rnacentral:rRNA from 1 species
UACGUAGGGGGCUAGCGUUGUCCGGAAUCAUUGGGCGUAAAGCGCGUGUAGGCGGCCCGAUAAGUCCGCUGUGAAAGUCGGGGGCUCAACCCUCGAAAGCCGGUGGAUACUGUCAGGCUAGAGUACGGAAGAGGCGAGUGGAAUUCCUGGUGUAGCGGUGAAAUGCGCAGAUAUCAGGAGGAACACCCAUUGCGAAGGCAGCUCGCUGGGACGUUACUGACGCUGAGACGCGAAAGCGUGGGGAGCGAACAGG